CUGGUUUUACUUGGUGGCUAUAUGAUGUUGUCUCUCUCUCUCUCCUUAUGACUCAGCUACAAACCCUGCAACCUAUAAGCUUUUACAGUGAAGUAGCUAAGCAGUUUAUGAUUGGAUUUAAGGCCUACUCCAUGAGAUGGGACCCAUACUUGACACUGGACACCAGCGAUAGUCAUACCAGGACCAGACUCAUAGAUGAAAUGAAGUGUCAUCAUCCAUCACUAUGAACUUCCUUCAUGAGAGAGAAAAGGGGAAAAAUUGAUCUGUGGUCAUGGCAAAGUGACCAGCCUUGCUGAGUGCACUCCCUGUUCUGAUUCCUGCCACGCCACAGCAAUGGUGUCCAUGGGCAGAAGCUCCGGAAACUGAUCCAGCUGAAAUCUUCUCACUUGUGUUUAUCUAAGGGAUUUUGUUUGAUUGACGAAAAAUUAAUCCAGCUGUAAAUUCCAUAGUCAAAUAAACCUGGCACAUAUAGACA
rnacentral:lncRNA from 1 species